rnacentral:rRNA from 1 species
AACUGCUGAGGAGGGGGAUAACUACUGGAAACGGUAGCUAAUACCGCAUAACGUCGCAAGACCAAAGAGGGGGACCUUCGGGCCUCUCGCCAUCAGAUGUGCCCAGAUGGGAUUAGCUAGUAGGUGGGGUAACGGCUCACCUAGGCGACGAUCCCUAGCUGGUCUGAGAGGAUGACCAGCCACACUGGAACUGAGACACGGUCCAGACUCCUACGGGAGGCAGCAGUGGGGAAUAUUGCACAAUGGGCGCAAGCCUGAUGCAGCCAUGCCGCGUGUAUGAAGAAGGCCUUCGGGUUGUAAAGUACUUUCAGCGGGGAGGAAGGCGUUGAGGUUAAUAACCUCAGCGAUUGACGUUACCCGCAGAAGAAGCACCGGCUAACUCCGUGCCAGCAGCCGCGGUAAUACGGAGGGUGCAAGCGUUAAUCGGAAUUACUGGGCGUAAAGCGCACGCAGGCGGUCUGUCAAGUCGGAUGUGAAAUCCCCGGGCUCAACCUGGGAACUGCAUUCGAAACUGGCAGGCUAGAGUCUUGUAGAGGGGGGUAGAAUUCCAGGUGUAGCGGUGAAAUGCGUAGAGAUCUGGAGGAAUACCGGUGGCGAAGGCGGCCCCCUGGACAAAGACUGACGCUCAGGUGCGAAAGCGUGGGGAGCAAACAGGAUUAGAUACCCUGGUAGUCCACGCCGUAAACGAUGUCGACUUGGAGGUUGUGCCCUUGAGGCGUGGCUUCCGGAGCUAACGCGUUAAGUCGACCGCCUGGGGAGUACGGCCGCAAGGUUAAAACUCAAUGAAUUGACGGGGGCCCGCACAAGCGGUGGAGCAUGUGGUUUAAUUCGAUGCAACGCGAAGAACCUUACCUACUCUUGACAUCCAGAGAACUUUCCAGAGAUGGAUUGGUGCCUUCGGGAACUCUGAGACAGGUGCUGCAUGGCUGUCGUCAGCUCGUGUUGUGAAAUGUUGGGUUAAGUCCCGCAACGAGCGCAACCCUUAUCCUUUGUUGCCAGCGGUUCGGCCGGGGAACUCAAGGAGACUGCCAGUGAUAAACUGGGAGGAGGGUGGGGAUGACGUCAGUCAUCAUGGCCCUUACGAGUAGGGCUACACACGUGCUACAAU